GCGGGUGUAGCUCAGUUGGUAGAGCGACAGCCUUCCAAGCUGUAGGUCGCAGGUUCGAACCCAGUCACCCGCUCAA
rnacentral:tRNA from 1 species